UGGAGAGUCUCCAUCCAGCUGGAUCACUGUCACAGAGAAACACACCACCACACCUCCACCUACAUCCACCUCUCCUCCUCUUACCAAUGUGUUAUUGUUUGUUGGAACAGUCUGUGUUGUGGUUCUACUGGUUUCUCUGGUGGUUCUGCUGGUGACACAACAUGUUUGCAGGAAACGUGAAGGAAGUGAUCCAGAUGCAGUCUACUCAACAGUGAGAAUAUAUGAAGAUGUCAGUGAUGGACAAAUAGCCAACAGACAAAGAGGCUUUAAACUAGUGCCAAACGUCAUCUACUCUGGGCUGCAGUAGUCCACAAGUCCAACUGCCGCAAUCCAGCUGCUGGUCUCUAACCGACCCUGCCAACACCUCAGACCAGAGGACAUCAUAAUGUUCGAAAGUAUAUUUUAUUCUAUACCUGUCUAAUUACAAUGAACCCAACCAAAACCUACAUAUUACUUAAAGGCACACACACACACACACACACACACACACACACACACACACACACACACAUUUAUUUAAGACUAAUACAAACAUGCAGUUAAUCAGUGUUAUUUGUGUUGUUUUCAUGUUUGCCAGAUCCUUCUCUUCUUCCCACAGUAGAGGUGUAGAGAUCAUGUUCAGUAAAAUAUUUUUUCACUAGUUUUUCUCAUGUGGUUCUGUGUGGUUUUCACCAAAGGUUCAGAUAAAAAAAAAAAAAUGAGUUGUUCUGUUUUGGUUGUGGCUAACCAAUACACUUGUCUCUUCAGAGCAAAAAAUAAAGAAUAAACCUUAAACCACAAUCACAGACUGAGAACAGCAUGGGCACUCUCGAAAACUGUGCAGAAAGCCUCAGUGCAUGAGGUAUGUGUUUGAGACUGAAAAGAUCUCAUCUUUAUGUACAAAAAUAUUCCAAGUAAACCAACCAAAGAAAACAUUUUGAGUCUUUUUUUUCUUGAUUUUCAUGAUUUGUAUGAUGGAAAAACUCUGGAGAGAAAGAAAAAGCCCAACCCAAGUUAUUUUGAACUUUGGUAAAUAAUUAAUGACAUGACGUGAAAACAGGAUAAAGACAUGUUGUGGAAAAGAGACAGAGAUUAAUCAAAUGUGUGGUUCAAUGCAGAGAAGUCUAUUAACACUGAUGAAUAUGUAUGAUUGAGAAAGGGGAAUUUUCUGACUCCCAUCUCCAGAACCAGCACAGAGUCCCUCCUAAAGCUCUCCUUAAAGCCAGAGUUGGACAUGAGCCACAUUUACAUUUUGCUGCCAUCUGCUGGUGAAACUGGUAGCACAGUAGCUGCUUUAUAAAUGGCAACAGUUUAACCUCCGUAACAUCUCCACUGCGGUCAGUAUAAAAUGCGGUGAAUACCUGGUCCUCUUUAGAAUCCCAGUUCUUCCACUUAUCCUAUCACAGUCAAUUUUACUCACUAAAAUAUGAAGCUCAGGGAGAAAAUGCAAACUCCACACAGAAAGGCCAGAUGGUAGAUUUAAAGUCAGGUCAUACUUCCUGUGAGGCAACAGUGCUAAGCACCGCACCCUCACGCUAGCCUAUAAAGAUAAUUGCAUUCGUUACCUCAGCACCAAACAUGUUAAAAGCAGCGUCAGGCUGUAAGCAGGUGAGUCUCACGGAAAAUGCUGAACACUUGUGUACAUGGUAUAUUUUUGUCUUUUAUUCGCCCCUCGAAGGUAGAGGGGCAAUCAAUUAGCAGUCUAGCAUCCACAGUUAAAGAUAUCAUGUUUAGAUUUUGUGUGAUGUAGAUAUGGAAAAUUUUAAUUCUGCUCCAAUCAUAUGGGUAAAGAUAAUAAAAUAGGCCAUUUUAGUAUGCAACAGUCAUAGGUCACAGGUCAGACAUCAGCAUAAUGUAAUAACGUCAUAAAGCUGCAUGUUUUAGUUUAAUUAUUGCUCUUCAAAGGGAGUUGUGCUCUGAGUGCUCUAUUUAUUAUUUCACAUGUACAGUUCAGAUGCUUGGUGAUUGGGUUUCAUUAUACCCCAAAAAGACAAAGUUAAUACAAACAUUUUAAAUGAGAAACAAGCUAUUUUAAGAACUAAGUGGGCCCAUAAAAGAGGGGAAAUGAACAGAAUUCUACUUAAAAAUUCUUAACAAAAUAUCAUAACUCAAAAAAAAUGACCGGCCCAAAUGACAGGCAGCUCCACUUACACAGUCAAGCAGUGUUGUUUGGCACACAAACACUGACCCCAUUAUGUGAACCUUUGAAAAUCCACUGCAACAAAAGACAUUUUUUUUAUUAGUCUGUAAUUUAUCCAGGUAAAAAAUCAUCACGAGAAGAAAGGUCAUAAAUGUGAUAGAAAACCAACAUUUUUAACUGCUGUGCAGUUGUACAAUCAACUGCACUGAGGUGCAGUUAAAAAUGUUCCAAAAUACACCAGAAGCACAUAAACAGUACAGAGGUCAAGUUUAAGUUUUGGGUGGCACAACCAACACUGGUAUCUGUCAGUGAAAGUGGUCACAUCAGGUAUCCAGAUAGAUAAAUUCUCUCUAAGAUGCUUCUGUGGGGAUGGACUCUGUUUUGGAGAAAGUCCUAAGUGGACAUCAGAUGAACUGUACUGUACAGGCUUGGGUCUAAAAGGGGUUUAUGCUUCUAUAGUAAAUCUUUGCUGUAGGUAUGUCACAGCUGUAUACCCUACAAAUAUAACUAUACGUCUGCUGUUAUUGUUAUUGCCAUAUUACCUUCUUCUUUAGUUCAGUUCAAAUAUGGUUGCCUCUGAAAAAUAAACCAAUAGAAAAAUUAUACACAACUUUUGACUCUAGAUUUCUUAUCUGUUUUCAGGAAGACUUUAUUAUGAUCCAUGAUCACGUCCCAUAUUUGUUUAUAUCUAUAGCUCCUUCCAUUAGUGUGUGGUUUUGUGUGCACCCCUGUUUGCUGUUUGUUGUUAGAUCAGAGCAAUAGUCUUUGUAAAUCAUGACCUGCAAACACUGGACCACAUUUUUGGGGUUGGUUUAAAUGCAACAAUCCAACAUUCUUAUUGUUCUUGACCAAAAAAAUAUUAAAAACCAUUUUAUCUGGUGAUACUCCCAUAUGUAAGAAAACUGCAAGGUCACCACACCAGUGCUGGGAAAGUUAACAGUCUGGAGAAUCUUCUUUCCUUAGUUCUCGUUUGCUCCACAUGUUAUUACUGUGAUGUGAUUUCAGAGUUCUAACCUCACAACUAAAAUGUGCAGUUUGCAUGAUCUGCACUCAAAUGGACUCCAGUCCACUAGUACCACAUGUGGCAAACUGCCAUAGCUUACAACCAGAUUAACUUGUAACGCAUCUGCACCUGCUCUAUCGCCACAUUUUAAUGCAUGUCAUGCACAAUACAUUUGUAACUUCCAUUCUUGUUUCUUACAAAUUAACUAUUAAAUAGUGAUUUAUUCACUCAUCUCACAUCAUUUGGAACAUGAUAUUUUAGAGAGUAAUAUUUUGCUUGUGUUAUCAUGUUCUGUUGGCAUAAACUGCUUUUGUUUUUGCUUAGGAAAUAAAUUCAAUUUAUUUAAAUGCCUCUGAAAUGAUGGGGUGGUGUAUUUUUAUGUUUCAUUUGUGUAACUAUAGUCACCUGGGCCACUGGAACACUUUGGGCAAAUAUAGAAUAGAAUAGAAUAAUCCUUUAAUUGUCCCACAAGGGGAAAUUUGGUUGUAACAGCAGCCAAAAAGACACAUAUAC